UACGUAGGGUGCGAGCGUUAAUCGGAAUUACUGGGCGUAAAGCGUGCGCAGGCGGUUUUGCAAGCCGGAUGUGAAAUCCCCGGGCUCAACCUGGGAAUGGCAUUCGGGACUGCAAGGCUGGAGUGCGGCAGAGGAGACUGGAAUUCCUGGUGUAGCAGUGAAAUGCGUAGAUAUCAGGAGGAAUACCGAUGGCGAAGGCAGGUCUCUGGACAGUUCCUGACGCUGAGGCACGAAGGCCAGGGGAGCAAACGGG
rnacentral:rRNA from 1 species